AAGAGAGAAGAUGAUGUGGAAAAAUGAAUAUGAAUAUGUAACUGGCUUUGCCUUCUCUUUUUCCUCGUGCUCAUCUGAUUUCUCCAGUGGAAGCAAUGGCUUUCCUGCACGGGGUGAACUUGGAGGGGAAAGCAAGGUUGUCGAAGAUCCAGCACGAACAGCAGAAUAGACUACCGAUAGAACAGUUGUUAGAAGACCCAACGCAAGAGUGCCUGUAGAAACAGCUUUGGAAUGCUUGUGAAGACCAUUACAUUCAUAGUCUCUUGGUUCACUAGCAAGUCCACUGUAACAGAGAUACAUGCAGUAUAGCGAGAUGACUGAUGCAGGUAAAACACUGCCACCGACUGAAGGGUGUAGUGCAACAACUGUGAAAAUGAAUGCAAAAAUU
rnacentral:misc_RNA from 1 species